UACGUAGGGGCCUAGCGUUGUCCGGAUUUAUUGGGCGUAAAGCGCGUGUAGGCGGCUUGGCAAGUCGGGUGUGAAAGCCCUGGGCUCAACCUAGGAAGUGCACUCGAAACUGCCUCGCUGGAGUGCCGGAGAGGAAAGCGGAAUUCUCGGUGUAGAGGUGAAAUUCGUAGAUAUCGAGAGGAACACCGGUGGCGAAGGCGGCUUUCUGGACGGUUACUGACGCUGAGACGCGAAAGCGUGGGGAGCAAACAGG
rnacentral:rRNA from 1 species